UCUUUCUCUCUUUCUCUCUUUCUCUCUCAAUAUCGAUGGCGAUUCAUGUCGAAGGGUUGAUUUCAGAGGAGAGUAGCCACCAAAAUCGUCUUCUUAGCCGUCGUAAUCAUCAUCUCCGGCUGUCGUUGCGAGCUGUUUCCACCGGAGUUAGGGUUCUUUGGCCACAGAAAUCGACAUCUGUUGUGGUGAAAGAAAUCGAGGGAUUUUUUGUUCUCUGAUGCUCCAAUCUCUCUGUAAUGGUUUUUUUACAAUGCCUCAGCUCGUCAGUAGAAUUGGGGUCAUUGGUGUGACCUUAAUGGCUGUCUUAUCUGGAUUUGGAGCUGUAAAUUUACCCUACAGCUAUAUAUUCCUCUUCAUUAGGGAGAUUGAAGAAGCAGAUAUAAUAUCUUUGGAAAGGCAACUGAUGCAGUCA